AUGCGACAACUCCAUCACGCGUAUAAUCUCCCAUGGCUACUAAUAGGUGAUCUGAAUGAAAUACAAUUCUUGCAUGACAAGGAAGGAGGGAAUCCUAGACCUCCCCAAUAUAUGCUUGCAUUCUAGGAUGCCAUUGAUGAUUGUGAAUUACAUGCCCUAGGCUUCAUUGGUGAUCGGUUCACUUGGUACAGAGGAAGGAUAAAAGAAAGACUAGACCGUGGGCUAGUGAAUGAUGCUUGGAUUAAUUUGUUCCCCCAAGCUACACCGGAAAAUUUUGAGUUCGAUCAUUCAGAUCAUCGCCCUUUGUUAGUGGAUUCAUAA
rnacentral:rRNA from 1 species